rnacentral:lncRNA from 1 species
GACAAGGGUUAAGAAGCUUGCUGUAAAUCCUGCAUCUGAAUCUGCUUUAUUUGACCUCAAGGAGGGAAGUGCUUAUGUCUAUCAACCCCACCUUAAGUAAGACACAUGAUCUCUGGGAUCCUCCUUCUGCCUCGCUUAUAUUUUGAGAUCUCUAUAGGCAAUUUUUGACAUAUCUUGUUAGAUCUUCUGAGAAAUCUCUGUACCAUGAGACUGGACUACAUGCAGCUGUGGGAAAAAUUCUCCUACAUUUGUCUCUUUCUUGUUAUGAACCAAGGGAAUGUGCACUGGCUACCUUUCUAUUCUAAGGCCCUGGAGCUGGGGACGAACUUGAUGCCUGAGAUCUCUACCAGGUAG